rnacentral:tRNA from 1 species
UCCAAAAUAGCUCAGUUGGGAGAGCGUUAGACUAUGGAUCGGAAAGUUCUUGGUUCGAUCUCGGGUACCGGCA